GACGAACGCUGGCGGCGUGCUUAACACAUGCAAGUCGAACGGUGAAGCCCCAGAUUGCUGGAGUGGAUCAGUUGCGAACGGGUAAGUAACACUUGAGCAACCUGCCCCUGAUAGUGGUGUAUGCUCUGGAAACGGCUGCUAAUACUUGAUACGAUAAGUGUCCGAAUAAGCACUUUCUGGAAAUUUGUUCGGUUGGGGAUGAAAUCGCGGCCUAUCAGAUUGUUGGUGAGGUAAUGGCUCACCAAGUCAACGACGGGUAGCCUGCCUGAGAGGGCGAGCGGCCACACUGGGCCUGAGACACGGCCCAGACUACUAUGGUAGGCAGCAGUGGGGAAUAUUGCACACCGGGCGAAAGCAUGAUGCAGCGACGCCGCGUGAGGGAUGACGCCAUUCGGGUUGUAACCCUCUUUCAGCAGGGAAGAAGCGAAAGUGACGGUACCUGAAGAAGAAGCACCGGCUAACUACGUG
rnacentral:rRNA from 1 species